ACACGCUCAAGUCAUCCUCAGAAUUCAUCCCCAAUCCGAGCCCUACCUGGCUCCUGGCGGUGCAGAAGGGUGCGGCGGCGCGACCACUCGUAGAUGUGCGGGAGUGGAGGGGCGAGGCAGAGGUCGUGCAGCGGAAGGGCGCUGCAGCGGUGGGUGAUGGGAAUGGUACAGCCACAGCGGCAGCUACGGGUGACAGGAAAGGCGUGGCAGCGGCGGCGGGAGUGAAGCGCACCUGCAAGGCUGCUGCAUCAUGGAUGUGUCUUCCUCUGCUUGACCGAUCCCUCAUUCCUCCAUCGACGGGAGCUGUCCUCAAGGGACAAAGAUUUACAAACUCAAGGAUGCUUACCGGUCUGUACUUUGCGAUGCUUGAACUUAAAAGGGGAAAGAAGUCUUGGCCUUGCAAUUUCUUUUCUUGUUGAAUUAUGUUGCUAUUUGUUGCACUGUGAGUUUAAUUAUGUAUCCAUGAGUAGAUCCAUGACAUAACAUUUUUUUUAUUUAUGACUAGGUAUUAUAUGUU